AGAAAAAUUGGUGAUGUUGAAGGAAAGAUGAGCCUGUGCGUUUAGUCAUUGAGGUGCUUCAGCUGCAAUGGCGACCAUGGUAUCCCGAGCCCCAAUAAACCCUACGCAUAAGCCCAUCACCACCACCACCACCUCCUCCAUUUGGGAUCAAUCGAAAGCAAAAUCCCCCCUCCUCCUCUUCCACCGACGCCAAUUUCGUAUAUCAGCAUCUUCUUCUUCUUCCAUUCAAGGAGGCACCAGCGAAGGCAAAACCACUUCUCUUCCAAGGCCUUUGACCUCCACCGAUUUGACUGGAUUGCCAUCUGAAGGCUCUCGAAUUCGUGUUGCUUACCAGGGAGUUCCAGGGGCCUACAGUGAAUCUGCUGCCGAGAAGGCUUACCCUAACUGUGAAGCAGUCCCUUGUGAACAGUUUGAAACUGCAUUUGAGGCUGUUGAGCGGUGGCUAGUGGACCGAGCGGUUUUACCUAUUGAGAAUUCUUUAGGAGGAAGCAUUCAUAGGAAUUACGACCUGUUACUUCGACACAGAUUGCAUAUUGUUGGGGAAGUCAAACUUGCUAUUCGUCAUUGCUUGCUAGCUAAUCAUGGUGUCAAAAUAGAACAUCUGAAAAGGGUUCUUAGCCAUCCACAGGCUCUUGCUCAAUGUGAGAACACUUUAACAAGACUUGGAAUAGUCAGAGAAGCCGUGGAUGAUACUGCUGGUGCUGCAAAGCAUGUUGCUCUCCAUCAACUUGAUGAUACUGGAGCAGUUGCUAGUGCUGCUGCUGCUAAGAUUUAUGGAUUAAAUUUGCUUCAACAAGAUAUCCAGGAUUAUUCAGAUAAUGUGACUCGAUUCUUAAUGCUGGCAAGGGAACCCAUAAUUCCACGUACAGACAGACCAUUCAAGACAAGUAUUGUGUUCUCACUGGAUGAGGGUCCUGGGAUGCUUUUCAAGGCACUUGCAGUGUUUGCUAUGAGACAAAUAAAUCUAACCAAGUGCAGAUUGAAAGCCGCCCUCUGCAAAGGCAGGCUUUACCUGCACAUAAUGAAAGUACCAAUGGGACCCCUGGGUCUUUUCCUUACCUUUUCUAUGUUGACUUCCAAGCAUCUAUGGCAGACCAAAGGGCCCAAAAUGCUCUUUCCCAUCUUAAGGAGUUUGCUACUUUCUUGAGUGUGCUAGGCAGUUACCCUGAGGAUGUCACCAUAUGAAUCAAUCAAAUCCAGCUCAGUUGUGCUUGGGGCCUCUGGAAUUGGUACCAAACAUCGUUUUUAUCAUUACCGUCCUUCCAAUCGGUAGUGUUUCGACUUGAAGUAAUAGAGCUUUUUUGUUUUUUCUUACAUCAAUAGAGACCUCACACUGGAAAGUGGGUGUUUCCUGUUGCAUUUAUUAAUUGGAUUUGGUAUUUGUUUAUCUA